UACAGGUCUUACCUCACCAAUAAAUAACUGGCUGCUUAUAAUAGGAGGAGGAGGUUUUCUGCUUCUCUGUCUAAUUACCGCUUGUGGUUGCUACACAUGGACAAAGAGACAAGCAGUUGGAAAAACAGAUGAAAUAACCUAUGCAUCAGUUGUUCAUAAGCCCCGCCAUGACAGCAAUGCUCUUGUGGUUGAUAUGGAUAAGAAUAGCUCCACCACAUCUGCAUCAGACCAUCUGAACUCAGAAACUGUCUUAUAUGCUAGAGUGAAUGAAAGAGGAGGGAAAAGAUAAAAAUUGAGCAUUAAAACUAUGAAGUUGGCAGCACGGGAGACAACAACUGUUUCAAGAAAACACCCAUCAAAUGUUUUUUUUUCUUCCGUUUUUAUUUGUCAUUCUUUACUUGGAAAUCUCAAGUCAGUUGAACAGGAGUGAAAAUUAGUCUCAGCCUCAGAUGGACCGUUGGCUAAAAGUCUGAUGCAUAAGGCACACUUAAAGAGAUAGUUCACCCAAAAAUACAAAUUCUGUCAUCAUUUACUCACCCUCUUGUCAUUUCAAACCGGUAUGACUUUCUUUCUUCCACAGAACAAAAAAAGAAAAUAUUUUGAAGAAUUUUGUUAACCGGACCGUAUUCACUCGCAUUGGUUUUGUGUCCAUACAAUAGAAGUGAAUGGGGUCCGGUGCUGUUCGGUUACCAACUUUUGACAUGUUUGUGAAUGCACACUGGUUCCUUACCAUGGGG